UACGUAGGGUGCGAGCGUUGUCCGGAAUUACUGGGCGUAAAGCGCACGUAGGCGGCUUUCUAAGUCGGGGGUGAAAUCCUGGAGCUCAACUCCAGAACUGCCUUCGAUACUGGAAAGCUCGAGUCCGGGAGAGGUGAGUGGAACUGCGAGUGUAGAGGUGAAAUUCGUAGAUAUUCGGAGGAACACCAGAAGCGAAGGCGGCCAACUGGCCCGAUACUGACGCUGAGAUACGAAAAGCGUGGGGGAGCAAACAGG
rnacentral:rRNA from 1 species